AGUGAACGCUGGCGGUAGGCCUAACACAUGCAAGUCGAACGGCAGCACAGUAAGCGCUUGCUCUUACGGGUGGCGAGUGGCGGACGGGUGAGGAAUACAUCGGAAUCUACUUUUUCGUGGGGGAUAACGUAGGGAAACUUACGCUAAUACCGCAUACGACCUACGGGUGAAAGCAGGGGAUCUUCGGACCUUGCGCGAUUGAAUGAGCCGAUGUCGGAUUAGCUAGUUGGCGGGGUAAAGGCCCACCAAGGCGACGAUCCGUAGCUGGUCUGAGAGGAUGAUCAGCCACACUGGAACUGAGACACGGUCCAGACUCCUACGGGAGGCAGCAGUGGGGAAUAUUCGACAAUGGGCGAAAGCCUGAUCCAGCCAUACCGCGUGGGUGAAGAAGGCCUUCGGGUUGUAAAGCCCUGUUGUUGGGAAAGAAAAGCAGCAGGUUAAUACCCCGCUGUUCUGACGGUACCCAAAGAAUAAGCACCGGCUAACUUCGUG
rnacentral:rRNA from 1 species